CUGCAAUCUAGUGUGAGGAUGAGAUGGUAUUUUAAUAGGGCUGCAUUUAUCAACUGUAACAAGGGAGGGAAUGUGCUCCAACCCAGCGCGCCUUGUGGGCAAUGCAAGCAAGAGUCAGCGAGUGCGACCGCCGGAGGAGUGCGGCGAUGGGAGGAAGGCAGACGGACAGACAGCCUGCUGGGAACGAGGGCGGUCUGCAGGUGAUCUCGCAGGGGAGGGUGCGGCACCCACUGCCCAUCUUAGCGGGAUCCCAUCCCCUCGCGCCACCAUCCUCAAUGCUCCUGGAAACCUGAAUUUCUGACUUGACUUGCGAUGGGAUUUGCAUGUCUAGCCAGUGACACUACUAUUUUCAGAAGUAAUUACAUUUUUAAUUACGCUUUUUAAUAGCUGGUAGCUGCUGCUUUGCAGUUUUGUUCCUGUCCCUCUUGGACGCACCUUGGAGCAACACCAGGAGCCUCCACUUCCCUUCCAGUGAGAUGUGAGAGUGUGAACACACAGCGAGAAAGGGGAGAACGCGUGUGUCGAUGCGUGCAACUGAUCUCGCAGCCACAUAUCGCAGCUGGAGACUGAAACCAGAGCUGGGCAGUGCAUCUCAGAGCCACGGGAACAGCCCCUCAGCAUUUCCCAACACAAGUCUGGAGAAAGAAUGAGGAAGACAGAAGGGCCCAGAUCUGCAGCGUGCAGACAGAGCUGGUCCUAGGAAAAGCACACCAGCUUUCCUCUAAAUCAGGCGUUUGGGCUGAGCGCUUGUGAUUGUAGGAGAAAGGGAAAGUGAUCAUAUAAAAGCAGCCACAGGAGAGGUGAAAUAAACUCUUCAAAGAGGGCUCGUGCUGGUGCAGAUUCUGCAUUGAAAAUCCAGAGUCAGAGAAUUCUCUGUGACGUUGGGCAAGGCGCUGCAUCUCUUACCAGCUCAGACUGCCAGUUGGUCACCGAGACACACCAACCUCCGCACUGCUCCUGUCCGUGGAAACAGACAGAGGUGUGGAAGAAUGAGGGUAUAUCUUUUCUAGAGAUCCGAAAGAAGGAGAGCUCUAAAUACAACAGAAAGGAAUUAGAGGCAGCUCAUUUUGAUCCAGGCAGAUCCUUCAACCUUUUGAAAUUUAAAGGAUCCCUGACUUUCCUGAAGCAGUCUCAAGACUCCCAUGCACCCAUGUGCAGAGAAAAUAAAAGUCCCUCUGCGCCGCCUGCUCAUUAAUUUGCUUUUCUUUUCUCAUCAUUUGUUUGCUAGCUUGUCUGCUUGGGAAGAUGGCGUGGGUUUCUAUGAUUUUCCAGUCAUUGCCUAACCCACCUGUUGUAGGGCCCAGCAGCGCUUAAUGGCACUGAGCACCACGGAGCUGCAAUGCCCAUAAGCAUGUCUGUUCCCAGUCCCUUUGGAGUCACUCCCUCACAGACACCCUUUCAUCAGCAGAUUUCAGGUGUGCAGCAAACCCUGGGCGCAUGGAGCACAGCAUACUGGAGCACUGCUGGCUGCACACCCCAGCACGCACCGGUGCGUGUCCCUGUCCAGCCAGCUACAAACAGCAGCACAGAGUGGCUGUGAUUUGGCAUCUCAUUACCACAAUGUCUUCGGCAGUUCAGCUAUCUGGAGAAGAGCUAGGGAGGAUGUGGAGACCUACGGCCAGGACACAGCACCUAGCAAAAAAGGAUCAGCCUGAAGGGAAGAGAAGAGUGAUUUCCCUCUCUUGCUCUUGCAGACCUGCUGCAGCCCUGCAACUGGAUUCUCCAACACACUCCAUGUUGCUCCCUGGCACCCAGAGAAUCAGCUGGAUUUUGCACCAUAGGAAAGCUCUGCAAACACUGUAGUUGUUACCAACACAGACACACAUUCCCACAAAUACCACUCUCAUGCUAGAUACAUCCAACCAAGCAGCCAAAUGGUUUAAAGCCAAGAGGUGGUCUCAGAGCCAGUAAACUACAGCCCUUGGAAAUCCCUAAGAACUCCAGAGGCAGAGUGCCCACUGCUCUGCACUGUCCCAUGGCUGCUGCAGUUUCCUACCUACGAGUGGUGUUGGUUUUGCAGACAGUGCCACAUCUGAACCUGUCAGGCUGCAACAAAUGCAUCUCAGACCCAAGAGCCAGAAGCUUUGGAUGCGGUACCUCCAGAGUGCAGCCCUCCAGGAGAUCUUGGUGACAUCCAGAGCAGAAGGACCUGGUGCUAUACCUGGAAUUACCAGUCUCAGCCCAUGGAAGUGAAGUUCGGAACGUCUGAGGCACAUCUCCUCUUCCAAAUCUUGGAAAUUCUCCCACUGUGGUUUCCCAAACCUCGGUGUUGACAUGUCUUGUUGGGCCUUAUGACACAGAAGUUGGACUGGGUCUGUACUGGAUCCCACUUUUGCCCUGAGUCUAUUAGCAUAACAUUUUAGUCCCUCUCGCUCUUCCAAACUGACACACAGUACUGCUGAAGUUCCUAAAAAUCUGGGAUUCUGCUUUUCUUGGUAAGCCCAAAACAUUUUUGAAAGGUUUGGAAGAAGUCUCAGAAGUUGUCCUGAAGGAGGUCUGGUUCAUUCCUCCAUGGAUGCGUGCCUUGCCUCAGGGGUCAGAUACCAACUCAGUCAGUAGCUGUUAAGGGUUUGAUCCUCCCAUAGAUUUUGUAUGCGAUUGAGAUGAAUGAAUUUUACACCUUUAUGACUUUUCUCAUCUGGCAAUUGGCUACUAAAGAUUGUUCAAACCCAUACAUUUGGUGAGACCAACUUUUCUGACGGCCACGCAGUACCCUCAGAGGGGAAGGCAAAUGUAUAGUUCAUUUUCUGCAGUGAAGGUUCAAGAAUAAACUGAGGAGACGUGGCUGUUCCUUUGGAGUUUGAAAACCCCUUAUAUCAAAUACGUGUGGGUUUCUCAGUCAAGAACCCAGGCUGUCCCCAGGUGACACCCCUCGAAGAGUUAAUUCCUGAGAAGCAGCAGCUUUGGAAAGGUACGAGGAGGAAUGUCUUGUCCUCGGGAUGGGAGCAGCCAAUGGAGCCGGGUGCCGGUGAUGUAAUGCAGCAAACCUGGUGCAUCAUUGGCCCCAAAGAUAUUAGACUUGAUAUGAUUUUGGAGAGUUGGGUGAGAGGAGUUUUUGCAAGAAGAGCCUGUAAAUUUCCCUGCACCAAGGACACCUCACUGAAAUCCUCCAGUGCUCCUCAGCUGGGCAUGUCUGGCCAGGAGAAGUUUGCUCUGAUGAUAAUAAUUCUGCCUUGUGUCUUCUCGGUACUGUUUAGCUAUUCUGCACUCUGCUAUCUGGGAGGCAUUUCUCUGAAGUCAGCCUGUGCUGGAAUUACUUCUUCAGCCUGCCCAUGAAAUUGAAAUUAAUUUUCAAUAAGAAGCAGUUGUUUUUUCUCUGACUCACCUCUGAACUCUUAAUUGUUUCAGGCACCAACUUCCAUUCCCCCAGCUUCUAUUACCUUCCUAGGUUUUCAUCUGCCCAGUCUUAUUUCUUUAGCUGAUUACUUCAUGAGGAGAUGGCUGAUGAUGUCAUAAAUGAACCUCUCCAGUCUGGGCUUGCUCUGGAUGGAGCUGCUCACAGCCCCGCGGUGGCAGCCCAGGAGCACAGAACCUCUCGCUCUGAGCUCUGGGGAUGCAGUGUUUACAUGAGGCAGCAGCCCUCACUGCCACUGCUGCCCUGAGCAGUUCACCCCACCUGCAGCCACAUUCAGUCCCAGGAUCCUCUGACAUUCGCAUCCCUUUC
ensembl:lncRNA